GCUAUGUGGACCCUAGGCAUUUUAUUAUUGAUUGCUAUGUUUACAUCCGCAAACAGGGUAUCUAGGUGCAGAGCAAUCAUUCCAUUAGUUCGGGAUCCCCAUUGCGGCUUUGCCUCUAAUUGUAACACUAAUGCUAUUAAUAAGUGGGUCAUCGCAUUCGAGUCAUGCAGGCGAAAGGAACUCAAUGUCUCAGACUUUAAAAAAGUACUGCGUGGAAUGUGUCCCAAAGGCGACAAACCACCGUGCUCACAAAUUCCAAAAGCUUAA
rnacentral:sRNA from 1 species